UACGUAGGGUCCGAGCGUUGUCCGGAAUUAUUGGGCGUAAAGAGCUCGUAGGCGGUCUGUCGCGUCUGCUGUGAAAACUCAGGGCUUAACCCUGAGCUUGCAGUGGGUACGGGCAGACUAGAGUGCGGUAGGGGAGACUGGAAUUCCGUGGUGUAGCGGUGAAAUGCGCAGAUAUCGAGGAGGAACACCGGUGGCGAAGGCGGGUCUCUGGGCCGAUACUGACGCUGGAG
rnacentral:rRNA from 1 species